rnacentral:ribozyme from 1 species
AUCGAAACAGAAAAAGAAAAAAGAAAAAAAAAGAAAAAGUAAGUAUACGUACCGACGUUCGAUGCCCUUUUCGUGAUUGAUUCUCUCUGUAUCCAUCAUCAUCUUCAUCUCACCUUUGUAUU